AGCUGAGGCCAGAGAUGGAGAAGGAGGCUGGAUUUGUUUUUAAGAUUUUCAUUCCUGUGGUCUAUUCUUCUCAGGUUGUGGCAGGAAAAUAUUACAUGUUCAAGGUGCUGGUUGAUGCAGAUGGGGAUGGAGUGUGUGUUCACGCGUUGAUAUUUCAGCCUCUUCCCUGUACUGGAAAUAAACCGAUUGUGAUUACAACCCAGUACCCCAAAUCCGUUGAUGACCCGCUGAUUCCUCUUGAACACUUACAGAAAUAGUCUUGAUUUAAUAACAGACACAUGCAAUGAACUGCCAUACUGUAUAGAGGAACAACUGAAACCAUUUCAUUCCUCAAUAUUAAACUCCAUAAUCAAA